ACAGCUUUAUUGCGACAUGUAGUCGUACGCGAUUUUUUUUUACAAAUUUCUAAAUAAAAUUAACGAUUCAUACAAAUUAACACCAUAAUAUUGUUGGUAUGGCCGCAGUUGUAGAUGUCUAUAUUAAAAAUACAUUGACUUUCUACUACUGCGGAUCGUAUCGAACAACUAUUUAAUUGCAAAGUCAAAUCGAUUCAAAAUACACACAUUUUUCAAUAUAUAAUUAAUAUUUCUUUUAUAAACAUUAAUAUUCACCGUAAAUAAGAACAUAUGAUAUGGAGUACAUACUAUUAUAACAAUGUAUAACAUAUAAGGCUCCAUUUCAACGUUUUGUCUUGUCGAAAUUAUCUUUUCGUUUUAUUUAUUUUUAAAUAUGUCUUUAAGAUAUUCAUCGAAUAAUACAUAUAUUAAAAUGUUCAAAACAGACAAAUUCAAUAAUUUUUCUUAAAGAUAAUACUCAAUUAUAAUUAUAAUAUUUUUGUUAUACAAAUUAACUUUCACAUUUUUACUAUAAUAUCUUUAUUAUACAACUUAACUUUUAUAUUUUUUUUAAGAUAUCUUUAUUAUACAACUUAACUUUCUUUCUUUUUUUUUCUAUACAUUUUAUUAAUAAUUGUUCUAUUGAUUCGACUAAAAUGUUUUGAGUCUAGAGCAUGUUUACAUUUUUUACUUACAUUAAAAUAUUAUACAUAUUUUACUUACAAAACAAUAUCGCAUAAACACAAUAUAAAAUAAUUGUAUCUUAAAUAUAAUUAAUAUAUUGGACAACUAAUUUAAUUUAAUGUUCGACGAGACAAAAUUUAGUCUAAAACACUAAAAGACCGAAUUCAUUUUUAAUCCACAACAUUUGCAGUUUUAUAAGUUAUAGGACAAUCGUGAACAAACAACGUUUUGAUUCGACAACUCAAAAUAAAAAUAUAAAUUUGGAAAAUUUGGGCCGACUGAGGAAAAUACAAACGGCUUGGAAGUUCAUCCGUCUAGAAGUCGAGGAGAAGAAUUCAUAUCUACAGAAAUAUAUUCGACCUAAAUACCUAACCACGUAACCAAGAUACAGUUUAUAGACAAAAUCUCGGCAAGACGCACAAAUGUUCAAGUCAUUAUCUGAGGCACAACUUAUGGACCAGCAGAAUCUAUCGUAAAAAUGUCAAUAAAACAUAAUACCGAUAUUAUAUCAGUGUUCGCAGUUCACUAUCUCCAUCGUAAAUCAGGCACUGAACCAAUCGGUCAAGGUUAUGCACCCAAUAUACAUUGCGUGGAUACGAGAUACAACUAGACCUACAUUUCAAUAUUUCAGAUAACAAAAUUGGCCGUUUUCAGACGAUUUGAUGCGGGAGUCAUUUAUGCCACAAGAUAAAAACGUCGACCAAAGGCAUGUUUUUUUUAUUCAGUAACCUGAAUAAAUUCCAAAUAUGAUUUAAUAUUUAAAGGACCUUUACAACACAUUUCUUGCACGAGUAUCUGACGACCAUGUGUUACACUCGGUGAACGCUCGAUACGUAUAAUUAUAUGCACGUCCAAGGAUCGUCCGCAAUCGCCGAAAAUUAUUAAUUAUUGUUUAGUAUUACAAUAUUAAUGUACCUAUAGGCUAUAGGUAGAAUGAAAACGUAUGACGAUGUACAAUAUUAUAAAAUAUGCAGUGUUGUAAAAGAUAAUUUUUAAAACUAUUCAAGUACUGCAGAUACAUACUUUAAAAGAGCAUCUAUAGAUACUUUAAACUACUUUCAAAUUGUAUACAUAUAAUUUUAUUUUUUUUACCUAUCAAUUAAACCAAAUUUUGUUGGCAUUUCCAUGUCUUACAUCAAUUAUAUAGAGCAUUAAUUUAUAUCGUAUCAUACUAUUAUUUGGGGUGAUUAUAAAUUAAUCACCUGUUUUCUUCGUUAAGGAUUGAGGAGUAUACUUAAGUCACACAAAAAAAUAUGAAUACCUAUUAUUGUAUACCUACACGCCUAUACACGGUAUAUUCUGGAAUUUUGAAUUGAAUAAUUUAUUAUUUAUAUUGAAUACGUUUCUGAAAAUUAUAACCCAAAAGUGUGAAACGAUAGACAUAUUUAUACAAAUUGAACUUCUGUCGAAUUCGUAAUAUUUAAUCAUGUAGGUUGGAUAUAUAUUUUCACUCAAACGCACACAUCCAUUUCUUAUUAUAUUUUUUAUUCUACGUGUUUGAAUUUAAAAUAAAAAACAUAUAAGCUAAAAAGAAGUAUUUGAACAUUUAUAUUUAAUUUUUUAUAUAGAUACUUUGAUAAAGUACUUAAAAUACGUAUCUGAGCACUUAAAAUAAUUUUAAUAAUUUUAAUCAAGUACAUUAGAUUACUGAAAUAUGUAAUUCUACUGCAGUAUACUAAUAAGUAAUUGUAAUAUAUUAUGACAUGAUUUCAGAUUUAAAUUAUUUAGUCGUAUGAAAUUAAGUUUUGUGAUUGGUGUAAAUAAUAUGAACUGACUUCUCGACUAUGUAUUACGCUGAUAAUUUUAGUCUACACGAGUAAAUAAAACAGUGUGUUAAAAAUGUAAAAUAUUUACAGUGACGUCAUGACAAUAUACGUUUUAAUCAUAAUUUUGCAUUAACUCAAAUGGUUCAAUCAAACUGUGUUUUUUUUUUUUUAUUAUUGUUUCGUCAAUUAAAUAACAUAUAAAUAAUUAAAAUGUUCAAUAUUUUUGAUUAAUUAACCUCUAUAAGCAAAGCUUGUGAUGAGGUAAAUGAGUUACAACAUGUAGUUAAUAGUUAUAUUAUAAUAAUUACUUAAAAAUAAUAAAUACAAUUUAAAUUAUUUAAUCAUACUUAUCACGAUAAUGA